rnacentral:rRNA from 1 species
GAUGAACGCUGGCGGCGUGCCUAAUACAUGCAAGUCGAGCGAACGGACGAGAAGCUUGCUUUUCUGAUGUUAGCGGCGGACGGGUGAGUAACACGUGGAUAACCUACCUAUAAGACUGGGAUCACUUCGGGAAACCGGAGCUAAUCCCGGAUAAUCUUUUGAACCGCAUGGUUCAAAAGUGAAUGACGGUCUUGCUGUCACUUAUCGAUGGAUCCGCGCUGCAUUAGCUAGUUGGUAAGGUAACGGCUUACCAGGGCAACGAUGCAUAGCCGACCGGAGAGGGUGGUCGGCCACCCUGGAACUGGAACAGGGACCAGACUACUACGGGAGGCAGCAGUAUGGAAUCUUCCGCAAUAGGCGGAAGCCUGACGGAACAACGCCGCGUGAGUGAUGAAGGUCUUCGGAUCGUAAAACUCUGUUAUUAGGGAAGAACAUAUGUGUAAGUAACUGUGCACAUCUUGACGGUACCUAAUCAGAAAGCCACGGCUAACUACGUG